CUUCCUCGAUCUGUUGCGGCGCAAUGAAAUGAAUAUGCGUGUCGACGCCGCCGGCGGUCAGGAUCUUGCCCUCGCCGGCAAUGAUCUCGGUGCCCGGCCCGAUGGUGAUGGUGACGCCCGGCUGAAUAUCCGGAUUGCCGCCCUUGCCAAUCGCGGCGAUGCGUCCGUCCUUCAGGCCGACAUCGGCUUUUACGACGCCCGUAUGAUCGAGAAUGACGACAUUGGUGAUCAAUGUGUCGACCGCGCCCUCGGCGCGCGAGCGCUGGCUCUGCCCCAUGCCGUCGCGGAU
rnacentral:sRNA from 1 species